UACGUAGGGGGCAAGCGUUGUCCGGAUUUAUUGGGCGUAAAGAGCGUGUAGGCGGCCGUACAGGUCAGCUGUGAAAACUCGAGGCUCAACCUCGAGACGUCGGUUGAAACCGUACGGCUAGAGUCCGGAAGAGGAGAGUGGAAUUCCCGGUGUAGCGGUGAAAUGCGCAGAUAUCAGGAGGAACACCGGUGGCGAAGGCGGUUCUCUGGGCAUUACCUGACGGCUGAGGAGCGAAAGUGUGGGGAGCGAACAGG
rnacentral:rRNA from 1 species